ensembl:lncRNA
AGCAGCCGGGAUACGGAGGUUGGAAUUGCGGAGAAAUUACCUUAGAAGGUGGGAAAAAGAACAUUUCUCCCAUCUUCUGUUUCUGUAAUCACAUGGAUUGGCCAUGGAAAAGAGAAAGGGAAAUGGUGGAAACUAGGGCUUUCAUGACCACAACUUCAGCUUUAUGCCAUUGAAACUCUUCUGCAAGCUCUGUCUGCCCACGUUUCAUUCUUAAAAGCACAGAAACGCUCACUUAAUGUGAGUUACUAAGAUGUCUUGUUAUAAAUAUACAAUACAAGGGAUGUUCUUGAAUAAUAAAAUAAAAUCUAUAUUUAUUUAAUUAGAAAAAGAUUUAAUUGUAUUCAUUUUAAUUGAUAUUGUUAUUUAAUAAAGUUGUUAAAUAUUUAAUAAAAUAAUAAUAAUAAUUGUAAUAAUUGUAAUUAUAAUAAUAAAUUGAAUAUCUUAAAUUUAAUAAAAUGUCAUUAUUUUAAUUUAACAAAUAUUUAAUAAUAAUAAUAAUUAUUAUUAUUAUUAGACUAUAUUUUUGGCACAUUUUUCAUGUAGACCUGCUGUUGUUAGAGAAUAACCUAAUAAUGUAGCACAAAGUUUUAGGAGUUGAAACGUAAUGAUACAAUGCUUAUAUUUCUAUAAAUACCUUGAGGGAAAACAGUGUGUUCUGACACUUUUGACAGGAGGUUUUUUUGUUUGUUUGUUUGUUUUUUUAAAGCACUGACAGGUCAUGAAACUCCUAGUGGAAGUGAGCCUCCUCAUAUUUGCCUUAUUCAAUGCACAAUGGUUUGUGUUGUGUCCAGUCAGUUGGGUGUCGUAUCUGUGUGACCAAGUGUUUUUUUAUUUUAUUUAUUUUUCAAUGGGUGUCAGAAUUAGGGAAGGAGGGAUUCUAACUUUGUUUAAUCACUUUGGAAGGAGCACGUCUGUUUAAAUGGUUCAUAAAUCCAUUCACGUGUAAAUUGUGCAGCUGAAUGCAACAAUUUGCAUAAGAAUGUUUUUAUUUAAGAUUUACACAGAAGUGUUGUAUGUUUUCACAAACAGGGCCCUUAAUUUCCACUUUUAGCAGAAUUUAUUCAUAGUUUUGCAUAAAUGAGUUUGGUUGUUGACUCACUGAUUCCUCUCCCAGCAUUCAAAUCAUUCGAAUAACAUGAUGCACGUAUUCUGUACUUGAGAAGGAUGAAGGAAAAGAGCAACUGUGAAUGUAUGGCCAAGGAACUCCGUCUCCGAUAUGUGAUCCAUUUCAUCCAGUCUGUACUGUAUUUCUUCUUCAUACAUUGUUCAUUACGUUUUGUUUGUCACUUCACCCCUUCAUUUUGUCCUGAACGAACAUAAUAAAAGUAGGUUUGCAAGGAUGGACCGAGACUGC